GUGCUCACUUUGGCAGCACAUAUAUUAAAAUUGGAAAAAUACAGAGGUAACAUGUCCCCUUAACAAGGAUGAUAUGUAAAUUCAUGAAGUUUUCUAUAAAUAA